GAUGAACGCUAGCUACAGGCUUAACACAUGCAAGUCGCGGGGCAGCAUGGGGGUUGCUUGCAAUCCCCGAUGGCGACCGGCGCACGGGUGAGUAACGCGUAUCCAACCUGCCCUUCACCACGGGAUAACCCGGCGAAAGUCGGACUAAUACCGUAUGUUGUCCAUUGACGGCAUCCGAUUUGGACGAAAGGCUUGGCGGUGAAGGUUGGGGAUGCGUCCGAUUAGCUGGACGGCGGGGUGACGGCCCACCGUGGCGACGAUCGGUAGGGGUUCUGAGAGGAAGGUCCCCCACACUGGAACUGAGACACGGUCCAGACUCCUACGGGAGGCAGCAGUGAGGAAUAUUGGUCAAUGGGCGUAAGCCUGAACCAGCCAAGUAGCGUGCAGGAUGACGGCCCUAUGGGUUGUAAACUGCUUUUAUGCGGGGAUAAAGUGGCCCACGUGUGGGUUUUUGCAGGUACCGCAUGAAUAAGGACCGGCUAAUUCCGUG
rnacentral:rRNA from 1 species